rnacentral:rRNA from 1 species
AGUGAACGCUGGCGGUAGGCCUAACACAUGCGAGUCGAACGGCAGCACAGUAAGAGCUUGCUCUUACGGGUGGCGAGUGGCGGACGGGUGAGGAAUACAUCGGAAUCUACUUUUUCGUGGGGGAUAACGUAGGGAAACUUACGCUAAUACCGCAUACGACCUACGGGUGAAAGCAGGGGAUCUUCGGACCUUGCGCGAUUGAAUGAGCCGAUGUCGGAUUAGCUAGUUGGCGGGGUAAAGGCCCACCAAGGCGACGAUCCGUAGCUGGUCUGAGAGGAUGAUCAGCCACACUGGAACUGAGACACGGUCCAGACUCCUACGGGAGGCAGCAGUGGGGAAUAUUGGACAAUGGGCGCAAGCCUGAUCCAACCAUACCGCGUGGGUGAAGAAGGCCUUCGGGUUGUAAAGCCCUUUUGUUGGGAAAGAAAAGCAGCAGGUUAAUACCCCGCUGUUCUGACGGUACCCAAAGAAUAAGCACCGGCUAACUUCGUG